UUCCUGUAUGAUGAGAGCUUAAAUUCCUACCACAGCCAUAUAUACAUGCUUGCUAGACUUUGAGCCACACAUUUACUAUUUACUGCUUAUGAGCAUUGAGUGUGGUCAAGCUGUGUAGACCCUUAGGAGCUUGUCAUGUGGUUAAAUCAAGAUUUCACUUGCACGAUCACUCAUAUAUGCUACUUCUACUCCGGAAGUACCAUCCACAUAUAUCCACCCAUUCCAUCUCCAGAACCACCUAAAAAUAUUCUACUCCUAAUCCGGGAGAGAAUAACCAAAAAUAUUUUCUGUUUUCCCUUGUGAAAUAAAUGCUCAAGUUAUCUUGUUACUACCACUUGCUAUAUUAUCUCAAGAGAUGAAUGCUCUGAAAAAAAAGGAGAGAAGAAAAAAGAUACGAGGAAAUAAAAAGGAGCAAGUGCUCGGAACCUCGAAAGAAAAGAAAAAGUAAGACGAGAGGUAAAAAUGGACAAGUGUCCGACAGUAGAAUUAGGGGUGCAAGAUACCCACCUGAGAGAAAAGAAAAGAAAAAGAUAGAGCGUCUCAUUCUCCUCAUAAAGUUUCAAAAGCAAGGAAGGUAUGUAUCCCCUCAAAAGAGCAAAGUAGAAUUAGACUUCCACCACCAUUGUUUCCACCAUUGUUAUCACCAUCAUCACCAUACACCAUUCAUUCGCCACACAUGCACAUCUUGAUUGGGCUUAUUGACUUGUUACUUUGGAUCCAUGGUUUGACUAUGCAAUACAUGUCUUGUAAGUAUGUAUACUUUAUCUCCCACCUAUGAGCUCCAGAUAUUAAAGCCUUAUUAGAGUAGGGUGAGAGAGAAGGCAAUGUCACUAUGCCUUAUACCACAAAUACCACAUAUCUUGAGAGAAGGCAUAUACCAUCAAUGCCUUGGUAAGGAUCCGAAAAUACCACAAAAGAGAGACCUGAGAGAAUCAUACAAGGAAUUUCUGAGUUUUAUUUGAAAAUCUGCGAAAACCCCAGAGUUAUAGCUGAUCAAGAAUAAGAGACAUGGCACUUGGCUAGACUGUUCUAUCUUUUAACCACUCAAGACAGAAGUGACAGUUACAAGUCCCAUGGUGUAGGUAAAAUAAGUAAGUUUUAAGUCUUGACAGUUUACUAUAACUCAGAGAUGAGAUCUUAUUUAAAAGCAUGUGUACCGUCAAUUUUUAAAGAUAUUGCAACAACUUAUGAUCCAUAGCUGAGUCUAUCCUUGCUCAGGGACGAGCAAGAGGUAAGGUUGGGGGAGUUUGUUGAUGGUCCUUAAGUAUCAAAUUUAAUUAUCAAAUAAAUAAAGAAAAGGAUCCAAAUGAAAUCAACAUCUAGACUUAGGGUUUUAUCUGACAGAAUUCCACGAGUUUUGGUGUUUGUCUAUUUCUGCAGGGGGUUAUCAGGAAAUAUGGAAGAAAGGCCCACAUGUCGGGAUUACGUAAAGAUAUUAACGUGCUGCGCAAUUAUCUUACAUCUAGAAGACUCCAGAAGCCACGAGACCGAAGCGGAGGCGAAACGGGGCUAGAGGUAGGGCGCCCGCCCUCCUGCCCUGGGCGCCCGCCCCCUCCAGGAGUCCAAUCAGGACUCUGCUUCGCGGGAGAUCUCCACCGACCUAAAGGAUGAAUCUAAACCAUACAAUCUAUGUCGGUUUGAUCCAAGGGCCCAUAUUCACUUGAAGGGACUAUAAAACCAGACCCCCUGGCCCCUGGAGGAGAGAGCCUCUCAACCCUAAUUCAUUGUUCCAUCAAGGGAGAAGAAGCCUCUGAUCAAGAUUAGAGCCACCACAUCAAUUAGAUAUCUAGAUUAGCAUAGCUACAUAGGAUUAGAACUAGAAGGAGUCAAUCUUCGAUUGGUUUCCAGAUCUGUCAAGAGGAUUCUUGGUAAUUCUCUAAUUGUGCUUCUAAUUGCUUUCUAAUUAUCUUUGUUCUUCAAUAUUAUGAAUAUGACUUUGUUCUACUUCAAUAUAUUGCUUAUGACUUUGCUCUACUUGCUUAUAUUCAAGAUUAUAUUGUUCUUAGUUUAUCAUAGUUAUGUACUUGGCUUAGUUAGAUUGGAUCUAUAUACAUGCUUAGGAUCGUAUAGCGUUUAUCCAUCGGAUGCAUGGGUAAAUGAUAGAUAUUGUGUAGGCGUGGUGCUUAUACCGUAUUUAUCUGCGAUUGUACCCAAUAUGCCAGAUCGUGGGGUGGUUCGUGAUAGUGACAGCUUCAUUGAUUCUUAUAUAGUCCCCCUCUCGUGUAUUGGGCUGGCAGAGCAACAUUAUUACAGGGGAGUGAUUGCUAUGUUUCUCAUAUUCCUUGCUAAUAUCACUAUGCAUGGGCGUAGUCUUGUCUCACAAUGAUUGCUAAGUAUGCUUGCACUAACUAUGAUAUGCUAGACUAUAUAGUUGAGAAUAACUUAGGGAAUAUUCUUGUAGUUCGUUCUAAUACCAUGCUAAUGACUUUCUAGAGUAUCUAAUUGAGGUGCUUAUCAUAUUUAUUAUGUGGCUAGAUCAGAUUAGUUAUCCUUGUCACUAUUAUUAUUUCAUAUAUCUUUUAUGUGACACUUAUCCCUGUAUGAAGAGUUAGAUAUAAUGUUCUCAAUUAUACAUGCAAUGAUAGAUGCUCCAUCUCAUAUUCUAUUCUGUAAUCAAUAGUGAUGAUUGUUAAUCCCUUCCCAGUGGUAAAAAUAUAAAUAACGAUACCUGGAAUACUUCCCGGUUAAAAUGCUACAUCGGUAUUAAUCUGUGCGCUUGCAGAUCGAAUUCAUUAUUUAUUUAGAAGAGCAAUUGCAUAUUUCAAUACCGCGUCUCUUAUAUCAUGCUGGGGAUGAAAACUUGGCUUAAGUGGUGUAACGGAUAGGUUUGGCAUUUUUGGCACCGUUACUAGAUUUAGAGAACUUAGUCUACUUUUGGUAAUGAUGUUAAGAAUACCCAACACACCACCGCCGCCCCUCUGCCUCAUCACGACCGACAACUCGUGCGAGGCAGGAGGUGGGCCGUGAGCCGGCAACACCAUGUGCCGGAACCGCGGGCACGACGGCUCAACAUCACACGACGACGGGAGGGGACGUGUCUCGCGCGCCAUCCCCCACCGCUACUAAGCUACUUCCACGCGGGUUGUUCACUCCAAGAAGGACACUGCCAUUCGGAUUGGACAAUGCCGUGACGCCGCUCGCUAGACCAAUAUGCCCAAAUGCUCAAACGUACGUGGAGAGACCAAUGGUCCUCCCACGCGACUCUGAGACCCUACGGCCGAUGUCCGAACUGCCGGAUUUCUCCCAGGUGCGAGGCCUCCGCCGCCUAGGCCCUGGGCGAUACACGAUCACCUCACUCAGGCAACGGCUGCUGGAGGAGGGACAUGGAUGCUUCUACGCCACCGAGCCGGACUCCGACUCCAAAACUGAUAGCUACAACCCUACGAGGGAAUGCUAUCACGUCGACGGGGCAGUAGAAACUACCGACGAGACGUAGGAUGCUGCAGCGGGCGGUCGAGCCCCUGCAGCACGGGAAGACCCCAGGACUCCUGGGAAGGACGGACAGGUCAACCCCCUACCACAGGAAGACAAAGCUGCGCAGCUUGCACAGCUACGAGAGCUCAAGAUGAAGCUCGACGAAGACCGUGAGCGCCUCGUCAUGCUUGAGCAAAUCCUUGAGCAAGACCUGCCGUACCCGCCGGGCGGAAGUGUCCGCAGACGCGCUCGAGAGGUACAUCGACAAAUCGUCGGAGACGCAGAGCCAGAGCAGCCCGCUACUGCGCAACAUGCCAGAACCAUCGAACUCCCAGGCUCGGCACAUUCGAGACGAGGUACAGACUCUGCUCCAGGUGGCGGCAGUUCAACAAGCCGAAAGCUCAGCUUCUCGAUGACGAGGAGCUGCCACUGAAAAGCGCGACGAGCCGCCUCAAAAUGAAAAAGAGGUGUCAGUCCAUCAACAGCCUCCUCCUCGAGGUAGAAAGACCGCUCUCGUUCUCCCCGUCGACACGACGCGCGGCAUGACAUCGAAGAGAACCGACGCCGCCGGCACGAAGACGCGUUAGAGCGCGGUUACAGUGCACAUCGCGGUGGGAGGUACGACAGCGACGAAGACCGGGUGGCCCCCGAGCCACCGGGCCCGCGAGUGUUCAGUAGGGCGAUCCGCAGCACGCCCCUGCCCAGUCCAUUCCGACCCCCGACCAGCAUCGCAAAGUACAAUGGUGAGACCAAAUCAGAAUUAUGGCUGGCCGAUUUUAGGCUGGCCUGUCAGCUAGGUGGCGCUCGAGGUGAUGAUCGAGCCAUCAUCAGAUAGCUACCCCUCUUCCUCUCCGACACCGCCCGUCGAUGGCUCGAGGAACUUCCAGCAAAUCAGAUUCACGAUUGGGUCGAUUUGUUAAAGUUUUCGAGGGUAAUUUCAAAGGGACCUACAUACGGCCCGGGAACUCGUGGGACCUCAGCAAAUGCAAGCAGAAGUCAGGAGAAACUCUUCGAGAGUAUGCUCGAUGCUUCUCGAAGCAGCGCACUGAGCUGCCACACAUCUCUGACCAUGACGUUAUCCUGGCUUUUGUCUCUGGUACCACCAGUCGAGACUUAGUGUGGGAACUGGGCCGAAAUCGCCCUCACACCGUCGAUGAGCUGAUGGACGUAGUGGCAAACUACGCAGCAGGGGAGGAGGCAGUCGGCGCCUUCUUCGGCUGUGAAGGAGGGAAAGGCAAGCAGCCUGUCGAUGAAGAUGGAACCCCCAGUCGAGGGCUCAAGAAGAACAAGAAAAAGCAGAAAGUGCGGCAGUACAAGCAGGAGAACUUCAACGACGAUCUCGUCGCUGCCAUGGAGCGGAAGAAGCCUCGAGGCCCCCCAGAUGGGGGUAUUUUCGACAAGAUGCUUGAAGAGCCAUGCCCUUAUCAUAAGGGAGGCGCCAACCACAAGCUCAAGGACUGUCGUAUGCUGAAAAGGCAUUUCAACGGUCUAGGGUUCAAAAGGGAUGAGCGUGACGACUCGAAGAAGGAGAAGGGCGGCGACAAAGAGGGCAACAAAGACGACGACGGCUUCCCCACCGUCCAUGACUGCUACAUGAUCUAUGGUGGGCCUUCGACACAGUUGACCACGAGGCAGCGCAAAAGGGAACGCUGUGAGGUCUUCACGGCAAGAAUGGCGGUACCCCAGUACCUCAGCUGGUCAGGCACCCCCAUCACCUUCGACCGAGAGGACCGACCCGACAAGGUAGUCGCCCCAGGCGUCUACCCGCUCGUCGUCGACCCUAUCAUCAUCAACACCCGGCUCUCCAAGGUUCUAAUGGACAGAGGCAGCAGCCUCAACAUCAUCUACCUCGAGACCCUCGACCUCCUUGGCAUCGAUAGGGGACGGCUCCAGCCAAGUGCCGGCGGUUUCCAUGGCGUCGUGCCAGGAAAAAAGGCGCUGCCAGUAGGUCGAAUCGACCUACCGGUCUGCUUUGGCACGGCAGCCAACUUCAGGAAGGAGACCCUCACCUUUGAGGUGGUCGGGUUCCGUGGCAUGUACCAUGCCAUCAUCGGGCGCCCGGGCUACGCCAAGUUCAUGGCCAUACCCAACUACACCUACUUGAAGCUGAAGAUGCCCGGACCAAAAGGCGUCAUCACCGUCAGCUCCUCCUUCGAGCACGCUUACGAGUGCGACGUCGAGUGCGUCGAGUAUGGGGAGGCGGUCGAGAACUCAACCGAGCUCGUCGCGAAGCUCGAGGCCCUGGCCGCUGAAGCUCCGGAGCCCAAGCGCCACGCGGGCAACUUCGAGCCUGCAGAGGGAACCUCGACCCCAAAUAGGAAGCUGUGCUUGUCGACUUUCUCCGUGCGAACGCCAACAUGUUUGCAUGGAGUCCCUCGGACAUGCCAGGCAUACCGAGGGAAGUUGCCGAGCACUCCUUGGAGAUUCAAGCCGGUUCCAAGCCAGUGAAGCAGCUGUUGCGCCGAUUCGACGAGGAGAAGCGCAAGAUCAUUGGCGAGGAAAUCCACAAGCCUUUGACGGCCGGAUUCAUCAAGGAGGUUCAUCAUCCCGACUGGUUAGCAAACCCUGUACUAGUUAACAAAAAGAAUGGGAAAAUGAGGAUGUGUGUCGAUUAUACAAGUCUAAAUAAAGCAUGUCCGAAAGUUCCUUUUCCAUUACCACGUAUUGAUCAGAUUGUCGAUUCUACUGCGGGAUGUGAAACCCUUUCUUUCCUUGAUGCAUAUUCUGGUUACCACCAAAUAAAAAUGAAGGAGUCCGACCAGCUCGCAACCUCUUUCAUCACACCUUUUGGGAUGUAUUGCUAUGUAACCAUGCCGUUUGGGCUUCGAAACGCGGGAGCCACAUACCAGCGCUGCAUGCUCCACAUAUUUGGCGAACACAUAGGGUCGACGGUCGAGGCCUAUGUCGACGACAUUGUCGUCAAAUCGAAACGGCGAGGGGACCUGAUCCAGGACCUCGAGAUCGCUUUUAGGUGCUUACGCACCAACCAGAUCAAGCUCAAUCCCAAGAAAUGCGUCUUCGGCGUGCCUCGAGUCAUGCUCUUGGGUUAAAUUGUUUCCCAGCGUGGCAUCGAGGCCAACCCCGAGAAAGUCUCGGCCAUCACAAGAAUGGGGCCGAUCCGAGACAUCAAGGGUGUGCAAAGAGUCACGGGAUGCCUGGCGGCUCUGAGUCAUUUCAUCUCGAGACUAGGAGAAGGUCGAGCGUUUUUCUUGGACCCCUGAGGCCGAGGAAGCUCUCGAAAAGCUGAAGAAAACGCUGACAUCAGCACCAGUCCUGGUCCCACCUCAACCUGCGGAACCACUGCUCCUUUACGUUGUGUCGACGACCCAGGUCGUCAGUGCAGCAGUGGUGGUCGAGAGGCAGGAGGAGGGGCAUGCCCUGCCAGUCCAGAGGCCAGUCUAUUUCGUCAGCGAGGUGCUUUCGGAGACCAAGGUACGUUACCCCAAAUCCAAAAGCUGAUCUACGCCGUAAUCCUCGCCCGCCGCAAGCUGCAGCACUACUUUCUCGGCCACCCCAUCACGGUGGUCUCGUCUUUCCCCUUGGGCGAGAUAAUCCAGAACAAGGAGGCCACGGGAAGAAUAGCUAAAUGGUUGGUCGAGCUCAUGAGUGAGACUCUCACUUACGCGCCUCGCAAGGCCAUCAAAUCGCAAGCCCUGGUGGAUUUCAUCGCGGAAUGGACAGACUCCCAGCUCCCCCCAACCCAGGUCCAGUCGGAGCUAUAGACGAUGUAUUUCGAUGGGUCACUCAUAAAGACGGGGGACGGGGCCGGCCUGCUAUUCAUCUCGCCCUUGGGCGUCCAUAUGAGGAACGUCAUCAGGAUUCAUUUUGCCGCAUCCAACAAUGUCACGGAAUACGAGGCCCUCGUCAACGGUCUCAAGAUCGCCAUCGAGUUAGGAGUCCGACGCCUCGACGUCCGAGGUGACUCCCAACUCGUCAUCGACCAAGUGAUGAAGACUUCAAGCUGCCACGACCCGAAAAUGGAGGCGUAGUGCAAAGAAGUUCGUCGACUCGAGGACAAGUUCCAUGGCCUCGAGCUUGUCCAUGUCGCCCGAUGCUACAACGAAGCGGCCGACGAACUCGCCAAAAUCGCGUCAACCCGAGGCACGGUGCCACCUGACGCGUUCUCAAGAGAUCUUCACGAGCAAUCCGUCGACUUGGGCUCGGGGGCUGGCGUCGAUGCCGCUCCCGCCCUGCCAACCGACACCGUCGAUGCAAUGCUGAUGGCAGCAGAGGUGAUGGAGGUAGAGCAGCGACCCGGUCGACCGUUCGACUGGCGCACACCGUUCCUCGACUGCAUGAUCUGCUGCGAGCUGCCAGAAGAUCGAUCUGAGGCCCGCCGAAUUGCUCGACGGGCCAAGUCAUAUGUGAUUUAUGGCGAAGGCAAUGAGCUAUACCGACGAAGCCCGACGGGGGUCUUGCAGCAUUGCAUCACCGUAGAAGAAGGCCGAAAACUCCUCGAGGACAUACACUCAGGGGCUUGAGGCCACCAUGCUGCUCCACGGACCCUCGUGGGGAACGCCUUUCGACAAGGUUUCUACUGGCCAAUGGCCGUGGCAGAUGCCAUCGAGCUUGUACGCUCAUGUCAUGGGUGCCAGUUCUACGCCAAACAGACGCAUCUGCCCGCCCACGCUCUUCAGAUGAUCCCCAUCACCUGGGCAUUUGCGGUAUGGGGGCUCGAUUUAGUAGGACCUCUACAAAAGGCAAAAGGGGGUUACACCCACUUGCUCGUGGCCAUCGACAAGUUCUCCAAAUGGAUCGAGGCUCGACCCAUCACCAACAACCACUCCGAACAAGCCGUCCUCUUCUUCACCGACACCAUACACCGAUUCGGAAUCCCUAACGUGAUCAUCACCGACAACGGCACCCAGUUCACUGGCAAAAAGUUCUUGGACUUCUGCGAUCAGCAUCACAUCCGUGUGAACUGGUCCACGGUGGCUCACCCUCGAACUAACGACCAGGUCGAGCGUGCCAACGGCAUGAUCUUGCAAGGUGUUGAUGCAAAACUGGUCUGCAAACACAAAGGGCUAAUACCCGAUUCAAACGUUAAGGCGUGCCAGCCGAUUUGACCUUGCUAUCGGCAAAGGUGAUAACUCGAAUACUUUAGUCCUGACAACAGCGAUGCGCCCGGAUGUCACGGCUAAGAGGUACUCACACGGAACUUGAGAACACACCGAGCUUAAGUCGACGAAUUCCUAAGAACUCGUAACAAAAGGAAAAAGUAUGACGAAGUCGUCGAAAAGUAAAUGCUGGAAUAUGAGUAAAAACGUGUGUUUGAUUCCUUGAUUGAUCUCUUAUUACAAGGCCCUAGGGUCUAUAUUUAUACCCUGCUCAAAGAGCUACAACCAGACAUGAUUAGAAUUCGAAUUCCAAAUUACACGGAAUCCGUAUAUAAAACGAUGCAAAUAAUUAAAGAAAUAACAAAACUAUCCCUCGUGACAAACCAAAACUCCUCCACAUAACGACCGGCAGCUUCCGGACUCCCUCUUUGCAUCAUCGGCAGACCCUUUGCCAUAGUCAUCGGCAGACUUUCUUAUCUAGCCAUCGGCACCAUAUUACUGCCUGUGGACUUAGUCACGUUCAACUUCUCCCUCAUCGGCAACCAUCCUCAUCGGCAACCCACUUUGUAAACAUCGUACUGCCACCUUAUCCUGCCAUCCUAGACACGUGCCCAAAAACGGUGUCAACACAUGCCCCCAGUUUCGGAGUAUAAAACUAUUAUUGCUCCAAAAUUCUCUGCAGUAAUGAUGCCUUUUCCCGCAAUUAAUGCUCCUAAUUUGGUAACCGACAACCUCAAUCUGAACAACUCUGAUCCUAUUCCUCCGCAGAUUCCUCGAAAUCCCCAACCUCCCAAACGGGCAUUUUUCUCAGUCGUACAUCGGCAACAAUACCGUUACAAAGAUCUGCCGAUGUUCUGACCAGGAUAUUCGCACAAACGGUUACUUCCCCUCUAUCCGCCCAUCGGCAAUAUGACCGUUAUAGAAUAUUGCCGAUGGACCGACCAGGAGAUCUCGCACAGUAAAAUAUCUUCAGAUAAUGACCGCUUCCGUCAAAUCACCUGAGUACCCUCGGAUUUCUCGGAUGCGGCAAGGAGAUAAGUCGGAUUUGCCCUUGCCCAUUUUGUCCUAUAAAUAGUUCCUUCUUGGGUACUCCUUCCCCAUCACACCAUUCUACUACCCAACUUUACUUUUCCAGCGGCGGCGCCACCAAAAACUCCUAAGGUCUCCAACAAGUACCCCUCUUCACCAACUCCGGCGCCUUCACACGCUUCCUUCGCAGCAAGAUGGCCGUCGGGUUCGUCGUCCCUGAGGUCAAAUCUCCACCCCGUCUUCUGUAUUUUUCUUCAUAUCCCUGUUCACUCGCAAUUCAUUUUACUGAACAUCUUCCUUUUCUUUCCUCUUUGUAUUUCUUUUUACGCCCAAAAUCACUAGGAAUUGUCCAACAAAAUUGUCAUCCCCACCGAUCAACCACACCUUCAAUGCCUCGGCCCUCUAGGGGACCCAGAUCCAACUAACCUUAUCAACGCAGAAACCAACAGGAUCCCCUUCAGAGCCGAAAAUUUUUCCUUAGAUCUGUGGAAGGACACCUUCCGCUCUUGGCCCAGCCCAACUGUAGGGUGGAAAGACUGGUUCUUGAGGGUCAGCAACUCUAAUGAAGUUCAGUGGGGUGAAAGGAAUCUAGCCCAAUGCAUUAGAUUGUCCAUUGCCGAUAUGCAUAGGAACGAGUUACUGUUGAUAGCUGCAUCCUACUUUUGGUCAGACACCCUCAAUGCUUUUGCCUUUGGCCACGGCCCUGCUUCUCCUACUCUUGCCGAUGUAGCCAUGCUUACUGGUCUAGAUAUAUCUUCUGCCGAUAGCACCCACCUUUUUGAUACUGCUCCUAGUGCCAAAGUGGAGACUCGCGCUAUCGGCGGUUGGUCGGGGUACAUUCAGAGGUACCGUGGGAAAGGAUCUGUCACCAUAAAGGAACAAACCACCUUUCUGAACAUGUGGCUGGACAAGUUUGUAUUCUGUGGUCGAUCGGCAGGACCGACUUCUGUCUACCUAUCGGCAGCAGAAAGACUGGCUAACGGUGGCCGAUUCCCUCUCGGCCGAUACUUGCUUGGCGCUGCUUACCACCUUCUUCAUCAAGUAGCCCAGAAACUUCUGCUCGGCCAAUCCACUGGCAACUUGGGAGGCCCCUGGUGGUUUGUCAACAUGUGGCUCAAUCUGCAUCUGCACAAGCGUCUCAACUUCAACCUGUUCACACAGCGUUUCCCAAGAGAUAUAGCUGAAAACCAUGUAUUGGGUGAAGAGGAAUCGGCAACACGCGCCCCCUUGAACUUUGGCGAAGCUGUCAUAGUUCUGCCUGGUUCAGGGGGUAAUCCAGAUCAGAUCGGCCGAUUCUUCCAGACUCUGUAUGAGGGUUUGACCAGAGACGAACGACCAUGGUUGGCUUAUGAUGACCCAGAUAGCAUGCUCCCUCUGACCUUCAAUCCAUUUGAUGAAGCUCUCGACAGGGACAAUGAGGUGAUGAUGGCAAUUGUGACUCCCAGAAUCAUUCCAGUGAAUUUCUUUGGUAGCACAAAAACCUCCCCUCAAACUUACGAAUUUUACAAUCCAUCGGCAUUAGCUCGCCAGUUAGCUUUCGGCCAGUUGCCGAUUGCACUUCCUUAUGCCGAUGUGAUAAAACCCAGAGAAACUAUCAACAACCUUCUUGAGUGGACUCGAGCAGCCCAACUACCACCAAACGCCGAUAUAGAUGUAGAUCUGUCAGAAUGGGUUCCGGCUGCUUUUAUCACUCAGGCAUACAAGUUAUGGUGGGCAGAAUGGAAAGAGCAUCUAUUCUGCAGAUCGGCACUUUCAUACCGCGGCAUGAUUGACUCCGAAUACGAAGUUCCCGAUGACACUGUAAGUAACUCAAACCAACGUUUCAUUUUCUCAAUAUUACCUCCAUCGGCAGCUUACCCUUGUAUUCCUUUUGCAGGUUGACAAUAUUCCUCCAUUGGUUAGCAGGAGUGGCAGGCCGAUCGACUUGUUUCCAUCAGGCCCGAUUUCCUCAAUCGGCCACAAUGCUCCCACUCUAGCUUCCAUAGUGCAUCGGGGUGUACGCCUCAGGAAAGUCACCACCAGAAGAACCCAGACAUCACCAACGGUUGCUGCUCCCACUCUUGCGCAGGCUUUCAAGGCAAUUUAUCAAAUCUUUUCCUUUAUGCUGACUAUCUUUAUAUCGGCUAUAUUUAUGCUUAUAAACUCUUGUUCAUUAUUGCAGCAAACCGGCGCAUCGGCGAAAGCCAGGUGUGAGAGUACCGAUGCCCCCCAGUCUAGCCAACCCAAGAGAAAGGGCACCACGGGUGCUAAGACUGCAACAAAGCGCCAGAAGGUAGCAACUCCCCCUCCUCCUCCGGUAUCUCCAAUUCCGGUGGAGUCUUCUCCUUCUUCUCCAGAAGCCCAGCCACAGCAAGCACCAUCUCCCCACCUAUGCAGGAAGCACCACAGAUAGAAGAACCCCAACAGGAAGGAUCUCAAACAGAAGAUACAUCAGCUGACAUAGGUGAACAAACAACUGGCCCGGUGGGUCCAGUUAUACCAUCGGCAGUUCUCCCGAUUCAGACAACCGUUGUCCCUCCUCUAGGUAACAUACUUUAACAAUAUCGCUACCGAUGAACUUAUUCUUAUUUAGUCUCAUAACUCCCUUUGUCUUCUUUCAGUUGAUAUCGUUCCAUCGGCAAUCUCAACCGAUCAACCUGUAGCUCCAUCGGCAUCUUUGGCCGAUCAGCCUGCAGCUCCGUCAGCACUUCUCAGUCAAAGACAAGAGAUCGCCUUGAAGCAAGUGAGUCACCGUUUACCGUUAGCACUAUUUGCCGAUUCUCUGAGUAUGAGCUAAUUUUGCUUUCCCUCCCAGGAACAAGAUUCUCCCGAUAGCCUGUUCUCCUUCGCCAUCGAUCUCUCUGAAGAAGAAGGUGAAGAAGCAAGCUCUUCUCAGAUGGUCGGCAUCACAUCGGCAGAGAUCAGGGUCAGGCUGGAAGAAUUGUCAGCUCUCCUUCACCAGGACACAGCGCAAUUGGUUGAUGAUUCCGACCCUACCAAGACCCUGUUCAGAACUCUCAGAGGCCAAAUCCCAGCCGAUGUUGAAGAAAUCCUGUUCCAAGCCGCUCAUCUGGAGAGUCGUCAGCUGCAGUACCAAAGAGCUUCUCGGCGGCUUGCCGAUAGAGCCGCUCAGACUCAACUCUCCGAUGAAAUGAGGAAAGAGAAGCUCUUGACCGAUGAGAAGCACAAGAACAUCGGUAUCCUGAGAUCUUCUGGAGACGCGCUGAAGCGGAAGAUAUCCGAUCUAUCGGCAAGAAAAGAAUCCCUGUUGGCGGAGCUCAAGGAAGUAGAGAACGCUCUGUCCCAAGCCCAACAGGAAGAGAGCCAAUUGCCAGAGACCAUCAGGCUUCUUGAGCACGAGCGAAAUGCUCAUGGUCGCAAGGCACUUCAACUGAAGAAGAAGCUGAAAACGAUAGAAGGUUCUGCCGAUGAUGACAUCAAGGAGAUAGAAGCAGCCAACCAAAUUCGGCUACGCGCUAUAUCGGCAAUCCAGACGCUGCUUAACACAUAGAGAUUCCAUCGGCAUUGUAUCUGCGCUUUCCUGCUUCCUCAGCUUUUAGUCUAGCCGAUAGGACUGUUAUCGGCACCUAAACUUUUGAAACACCAAUUCUUGUCCCCAAGCAUUUGGAUCCAGCCGAUAGGAGUGUUAUCGGCACCUAAACUUCUAUGCAUCGACCCAUAUACUGGGGUAGUACUUCUUUAAAUAUUUGCCGUUUAAUGCUCUGGGAAAUUCAAUUCCUUCGAGGGUUUCUAGAAUGUAGGCAUUACCAGGAGCCGAUCGACUUAUCCGAUAAGGACCCUCCCAAUUAGGAGACCACUUUCCAAACAUCGAACUUUUGGUCCCAAUUGGUAAAAUUAAUUUCCAUACCAAAUCCCCAUCGGCAAACUCUUUAGCCUUCACUUUCUUAUCAUACCAUCUAGCAACUCUCUUCUUAUUUUCUUCUAUACUCAUUAAAGCUUUUAACCGAUGCCCUGCUAGAUCGUCCAAUUCAUCGGUCAUCAAAGUGGCAUAACCAUCGGAAGUUAAUUGAUCUUGAAAAGAUAAUCGCCUAGAUCCAGCCUUAAUUUCUCAAGGCAACACUGCAUCAUGUCCAUACACCAAUUGAUAGGGUGAUACUUUGGUCGAUCCAUGACAAGCCAUCCGAUAAGACCACAAUGCUUCAUUUAAUAAUGUAUGCCACCGCUUAGGAUUUUCUUCAAUCUUUCGUUUAAUAAGCUUGAUAAUUCCUUUGUUAGACGCUUUGGCCUGCCCAUUGGCUUGAGCAUAAUAAGGAGAAGAAUUCAACACUUUAAUUCCCAUACCGAUUGCGAAUUCAUCGAACUCCCCCGAUGUGAACAUGGUGCCCUGAUCGGUAGUAAUCGUUUGGGGAAUCCCAAAUCGGUAAAUAAGAUGCUCCUUCACAAAAUCAAUCAUAUUGGCCGAUGUGACUUUCUUCAAAGGAAUAGCUUCAACCCACUUAGUGAAAUAGUCAGUGGCAACUAGAAUGAACUUGUGCCCUUUGCUAGAUGGUGGAUAAAUCUGGCCGAUCAGAUCGAUGGCCCAUCCCCGGAACGGCCAGGGCUUUAUUAUACGAUUCAUAGCCGAUGCGGGUGCUCUCUGGAUAUUACCAAACUUUUGACAACCUUGACAUCCCUUGAAAUAUUUAAAACAAUCUUCAAGUAUGGUUGGCCAAAAAUAUCCAUUCCUUCGAAUCAUCCACUUCAUCUUAAAAGCUGACUGAUGCGCUCCACACACUCCUUCAUGGAUUUCCCCCAUCAAACUUCUAGCUUCAUCAUCACCCAAGCAUCGGAGAAGAAUUCCGUCGAUAGUUCGAUAAUACAAUUCAUUUUCAAGGAGCACAUACUUGGUUGCUUGAAAUCGAACCCGUCUUUCAACCUUUUUGGAUGGAUCUUUUAGAUAAUCAAUAAUUUCUUUCCUCCAAUCACCGGCACCGACUGCCGAUGUCGCAUUAAUCAUUGGCUGAUAUCCCGAGGCAUGCUGAGCUAACCGAUUAGCGUCUUCAUUAUGCAAUCGGGGAACAUGCUCCAAUCGGAAAUCCUUGAAUUCCUUUAACAGUUGCAUACUUCUCUCGAAAUAAGUUAUGAGAACUUCACUUCGGCAUUCAUAGCUUCUGGCCAAUUGAUUUAUAACCAACAUAGAAUCCCCGAAUAUUUCAACAGCAUCAGCAUGAACUUCUCUUAACAACUCCAAUCCCUUGAUCAGAGCUUGAUACUCAGCCUGAUUAUUUGUUGAUGUGGCAACAAUCGGCAAGGAAAACUCAUACUUCCUCCCCUUAGGGGAAACUAAUACAAUGCCGAUUCCUGCCCCCCGGUCACAGGUAGAUCCAUCAAAGAAGAGCGUCCAGGGUACAAUUUCCAAGGUUUCCACUAGACCGCAAUGCUGAGUCACAAAAUCGGCCAUAAUCUGCCCUUUGACUGCCUUAGCCGAUUCGUAACGCAAAUUGAACUCCGAUAGCGCUAAAAUCCAUUUACCGAUCCUACCACUCAUAAUCGGCAUAGAUAGCAUGUAUCGGACCACGUCAUCUUUGCAAACAACAGUGCAUUCGGCCGAUAACAGGUAAUGUCUCAGCUUGAUACAUGAAAAAUAUAAGCAUAAGCAUAGUUUCUCAAUGGCCGAAUACCUGGUUUCAGCAUCAAUCAACCUCCUACUCAAAUAAUAAAUUACCCUUUCUUUCCCUUCAAAUUCUUGAACUAAAGCUGAACCGAUAACCGAUCCAUCGGUAGACCAAUACAAUCUGAAGGGCUUCCCUUGUUGAGGUGGAACUAGAACUGGAGGAUUUACUAGAUACUUCUUGAUUUCAUCCAGAGCCAACUGCUGUUCUUCUCCCCAAAUAAACUCUUGAUCGGCUUUCAAUUUAAGAAGAGGACUGAAAGCACGAAUCCUACCAGACAAAUUCGAUAUAAACCUCCUGAUAAAAUUUACCUUGCCGAUCAAGGAUUGGAGCUUGGUUUUGUUGGUAGGGGCCACUAUUUUAUUGAUGGCAUCAAUAGAUCUUCGACUAAUUUCAAUACCUCUCUGAUGUACCAUGAAACCAAGAAACUGCCCUGCCGAUACACCAAAUGCACACUUGUUGGGAUUCAUCUUCAAUCCAUGCUUCCUUGUGCACUCUAAAACUUUUUGUAAAUCGGCAAGAUGCUUUGAGAAAUCUCCAGACUUAGUCACCACAUCAUCAAUAUAAAUCUCCACGAGCUUGCCGAUGAACUCAUGAAAUAUAAAAUUCAUAGCCCUUUGAUAAGUAGCACCAGCAUUCUUCAACCCAAAAGUCAUGACUAUCCAUUCAAAUAGCCCAACAUGACCAGGACACCUGAAUGCGGUUUUUGGAAUAUCCUCCUCCGCCAUGAAUAUUUGAUUGUAACCUGCAUUACCAUCCAUGAAGCUGAUGACCCGAUGACCAGCCGCAGCAUCAACCAGUAGAUCGGCGACAGGCAUUGGGUAUCCAUCCAUCGGCGUAGCUUUAUUGAGAUUCCUGAAAUCAAUGCACACCCGAAGCUUCCCGUUCUUCUUGUAAACCGGAACAACAUUGGAAAUCCACUCGGCAUACCGACAUUGCCGAAUAAAUUUAGCUUCAAUAAGUUUGGUGAUUUCGGCCUUAAUAUCAGGUAGAAUGUUAGGAUUACAUCGGCGGGCUGGUUGCUGAUGUGGCCGAAAUCCAGACUUGAUGGGUAACCGAUGUUCAACAAUUGAUCGGUCUAAACCAGGCAUAUCGGUAUAAUCCCAAGCAAAGCAAUCUUUAUAUUCCUUUAACAAACUAGUCAAUUGUUGCUUACUCUCAGGAUCUAAUUUAGCACUAAUAAAAGUAGGCCUAGGCUUAUCACCACUACUUAUAUCUACUUCUACCAAAUCAUCGGCCGAUGUGAAUCCCUGGCCUAAUUUUCCAUCAUCGGCGAAUCUAUCCAUUAAAAACCGUCGUCAGAACCGACUGCUUGGAUCGGUGGAAUCUCAUAAUCGGCAACUUUGAGAAAAUCUUUCUCCCAAACUUCUCCUGAAAUGCACCUGGUCCUUUCGUAAGUAUCCGCUUCUGCCGAUGCGAUAACAUAAGAAGAAUCUCCUAGGACAAUCUCAAUCUUGUCACCUACCCACUGAACCAAGCAUUGAUGCAUUGUAGAUGGGAUACAACAAUUGGCAUGAAUCCAAUCUCUUCCCAAUAAUAAGUUGUAAGUACCUUUUCCGCUGAUCACGAAAAAAGUUGUCGGCAAGGUUUUGCUGCCGAUGGUCAACUCUGCACAUAUCGCCCCCUUGACUGGAGACACGUUUCCUUCAAAGUCUUUGAGCAUCAUAUCGGUCUUGGUCAAAUCUUGAUCUCCUUUUCCAAGCUUCCGAUAUACUGCAUACGGCAUAAUAUUAAUAGCAGCUCCACCAUUAACUAGGAUCUUGGUCAUUGGCUGCCCAUCAACCCUUCCUUUGAGGAACAGAGCUUUAAGAUGCUGCCUCUCGUCAUCGGCAGGUUUCUCAAAGAUAGCCGUCAUCGGAUCCAGAGCCAACUGAGCUAUCUGAUUAGAAAAUUCCAACUCAUCAUCUCUGGCUGGUGCAAGAAACUCCAUUGGCAACAUGAAGACCAUGUUGACGCCUGCCGAUGGACCUUCCCUCUUAGUGUCUGACGGCUGCCGACUUCCAGAGUUCUCUCCCUUGUUUAGCUCUUCUUGCCUUUCACGUUGCAAUCUCCUUUUCUGUGUCUUGGUUAAUCCUCCAGGGCACCAUGGAGGAAGUGGCCUUUGCCUUGCCGUCGGGCGUCGGUUCUCCCUUGACUCCAUACGAUGCGUGUUAGCAUCCCUGCAAAAUAUGAAUUCAUCGGGAACCUGCGCAUCAGCCAUUUCCUCGAGCUCUUCUUGGUUCCUGGGAAAAUAUUGGACACGGUCACUAAGUCUGUCGUGCCCACUAAAUCUGCCCCCCAGCCGGUCAUGAACUGACACCCUUCCUCUGAUCGGCCCAUUAAAUCGCCGUUCAUCAUCAUGAUAAUGCCGAUCGAUCCUAUCGUACCGAUCAUAACCGUUGCACUCAGGGCAGUCUCUGACAGUAGGAAGCUUGAUAUUUUCCUCCCAACAAUGGAUGAAGAAUGGACAAUUCCAAUGAUCCCUGUGCCGAUUCCACUCCUGUCGGCGUCUUUCUUCUUCCCGUCGAUAAUCUUCCUGCUGGCGCCGAUACCGAUCUUCCCGUUGUUGCCAUUUUUCUCGAGGCCUUCUAUGAGUUAUGACGAUACCAGAUCGAGGAGGCCUUCCUGAGCUAGUUCCUUCCUGGACCAAGCCCUUACUUCUUGCAUCGGCAGUAGUAACUUGAUGCUGAGAAUCUACCGAUGCACUCUUCUCAGCUGUCUCCGAUGUUAAGACCUUAGCCUUCCCCUUAGCAUCCAACAUGUUUGUCGGGAAAGGAUGUUGGUCUAUCUUCAUCGGCUUCUGGGCUUGGGAACUGUCAAACUUGAUUCUCCCUGACUCUAUAGCCGAUUGCAGCUGCUGUCUGAAUACUUUGCACUUGUUGGUGUCAUGGGAAUUUGCAUUAUGCCACUUGCAAUAUCUCAUCCUCUACAACUCUUCUGCCGAUGGGAUCACAUGGUUAGAUGACAGUUUGAUCUGACCUUCCUGAAGUAGAAAGUCAAAUAUCCUAUCAGCCUUAGCGGUGUCAAAAGCAAACUUCUCUGGUUCCUUCUGCCCAAAAGGACAAGACAUCGGCUUCUUGUUUUUUACCCACUCUGCCAAGCCGAUUACUGGUUCUUCAUCAGAAUCUGAGCUUGUUGCUUCAUCGACAAAUGACACUUUCCUAUUCCAUGCUCUUUUAGGCUCGAAAGGCUUGAUGUCUUGAUCAGAAAUCCUCUGCACCAAAUGACUUAAACUUUCGAACUCCUGAGAGGCAUACUUAUCCCUGAUAUGUGGCAACAAACCCUGGAAAGCCAAAUCGGCUAGCUGCCGAUCAUCCAGAACCAAGCUAUAGCAUUUAUUCUUGACCUCUCGUAUCCUCUGCACAAAACCCUCAACCGACUCAUCAUUACGUUGCUUCAACUUGACCAAGUCGGUGAUCUUCUUCUCAUGAACCCCCGAGAAGAAGUAUUUGUGGAAUUGCUUCUCUAGAUCGGCCCAAGUAAUUACUGAGUUGGGAGGUAAUGAUAUGAACCAAGUAAAGGCCGAUCCAGACAAUGAUGAUGAAAAUAGACGAACCCUCAAUUCAUCCCUGUUACCAGCCUCUCCACAUUGAAUGAUGAACCUGUUGACAUGCUCCAUGGUUGACGUGUCGUCCUGCCCGGAAAACUUUGUAAAAUCCGGUACCUUGUACCGAUGUGGAAGCGGGAUCAAAUCAUACGCGGGAGGAUACGGUGUCCGAUAAGAAUAAGUGUUGACUUUGGGUUUUAUCCCAAAUUGUUCCCUCAUUACUUCAGCAAUCUUAUCGGCCCAAUAUGCAUCGGCAUCUUGCCGAUGAGGCGGCUGCGGAUCUGGCACUUGGUGGCGAACCUCCACGUGUCUGUUCGGGACGUGAUCUGCACGGAACAUUGUAUUGAUCACCUGUCCUCCAAUCUGCGGACCACCAAACUGCUGUCCACCGAUUGGCUGUCCUCCGAGUUGCUGUCCAAAAUUCAUUGGCUGGUUGGGAAUCCCCUGACCUUGGAACCCGGGAUAGACCUGCCCUUGCUGGAACCCUGUAGUCUGGUAACUCUGCUGGGGCGAUUGUGGAAAGGCUUGCUGUCCAAGCCAUCCAUUAUUAGCGUUCAUCGGCAUUGGUGCUGCCGAUGAUUGGUAAUUGGGUACCGUCGUUGAAUUGACAUACCCCGACUGGGCCAUAGACCUCUGUUGCAUCAGCAUUGACUCUGUCGAUGCGUUGGGCAUCUGGAACAUUGAAUCUUGAGGAUUUCCAGUGUGAGGCCUUGCAGUAGUAGUUGUGGUAUACCGAGGACUCUGGUUCACCAGCGCAUUGGGAGGUGCCGAUGUCAUAGGAGUUUUGCCCCUCAUGUCAGUUAUUUGUGAUGUUCCCGGUGUCAACUCUGGAGGCAUACCGUAACCCCACCAGUUGGGAGGAAGAGUCAACCCUGACAUUGCCGAUGCCAACAUAUCUGUUGUCAGUUUAUGCUGCCCAACUGAAAUUUGUGGGCUGGUUGUCAUCGGCAUAGAUAGUGCACCAGUAGUCCCCGAUGUACUUGGAGGGACGGCAGAUUGUGCACUUGCAGUCGUCAAGGCAGCCGAUGGAGCCGUGACCUCUGGUGCCGUUGGCUGAAGAUGGGAGGGGCCCACAUAAUCUGGUGGGAUUUGUCCUUCCUUGAAAGUUCUUGCCACGGCAUUGAAAACCGUAUUAGACAGUACACCAGCUUGGUUAAUCAACGCUCGAUUGAUGGCAUUGUCAACCAUAUCUUGAAGCUUGCCAGGAUUGGCAUCAAAGGUAACCUGCCGUGGUGCCGGCAGAGCAUCUUUCUGGACCACUUCGCCGCUCCUGUUUAUGCUGAAAGACCUCAGGCAUUGCUGCUUGAACUCUUCCAUGGCUUGGGCAAUAGCUUGCUUCUGCUCAUCCUUGAGGUUGGCCUCCGUCACGGGGAUGACGUUCUCUUGAUCGAGGUCAGAGAUCGACAUGUUGAUCUUGAUCUUGAAUCCUGUCCCACCGAGCGUGCCAAAAGAUGUGUUGAUGCAAAACUGGUCUGCAAACACAAAGGGCUAAUAACCGAUUCAAACGUUAAGGCGUGCCAGCCGAUUUGACCUUGCUAUCGGCAAAGGUGAUAACUCGAAUACUUUAGUCCUGACAACAGCGAUGCGCCCGGAUGUCACGGCUAAGAGGUACUCAUGCGGAACUUGAGAACACGCCGAGCUUAAGUCGACGAAUUCCUAAGAACUCGUAACAAAAGGAAAAAGUAUGACGAAGUCGUCGAAAAGUAAAUGCUGGAAUAUGAGUAAAAACGUGCUUUUGAUUCCUUGAUUGAUCUCUUAUUACAAGGCCCUAGGGUCUAUAUUUAUACCUUGCUCCAAAAGCUACAACCAGACACGAUUAGAAUUCGAAUUCCAAAUUACACGGAAUCUGUAUACAAAACGAUGCAAAUAAUUAAAGAAAUAACAAAACUAUCCCUCGUGACAAACCGAAACUCCUCCACAUAACGACCGGCAGCUUCCGGACUCCCUCUUUGCAUCAUCGGCAGACCCUUUGCCAUAGUCAUCGGCAGACUUUCUUAUCUAGCCAUCGGCACCAUAUUACUGCCUGUGGACUUAGUCACGUUCAACUUCUCCCUCAUCGGCAACCAUCCUCAUCGGCAACCCACUUUGUAAACAUCGUACUGCCACCUUAUCCUGCCAUCCUAGACACGUGCCCAAAAACGGUGUCAACACAAGGGCUCAAACCCAGGAUCUACAAUCGCCUGAAGAAAUUCGGCAAGAAGUGGGUCGAGGAACUUUCCUCGGUCUUAUGGAGUUUGAGGACGACGCCAAGCCGGGACACCAAAUACACCCCGUUCUUCAUGGUCUAUGGCUCUGAGGCCGUGCUCCCAACGGACCUCGAGUAUGGAUCUCCUCGACUCAAGGCAUACAACGAGCAGUCGAAUAAGGAAGCUCAAGAGAAUGCUGUCGACCAGCUUGAGGAGGCUCGAGACAUGGCCCUCCUCAACUCUGCCAGAUACCAGCAGAAGCUUCGACGCUACCACGACAAACACGUACGAAAGAGGGACUUAAACGUGGGUGACCUUGUCCUACGACAACGGCAGAGCAAUCAAGGACGCCACAAGCUGACCCCGCCAUGGGAAGGCCCGUACGUGGUGGCCGAGGUCUUGAAGCCAGGAACGUACAAGUUAGCGGACGAGAAGGGGGCGGUCUUCACCAACGCAUGGAACAUCGAACAGCUACGUCAAUUCUACCCCUAGAAGUUCAAAACUUACGUUCCUACGUACAUUUUGUACCAAGACUCUGUAAACGAAUGCAUGAAUAAAUGAACUCUUUCCCUCGAGCAACUUCUUUUUGUACCAAGGAUUUACAUGUCAUAAUCUCGACGUUAGAAGGGGGCGCCAACUAUGACCCAUCAUAGUCAACACCCCCUCGGGGGCUACCAGGGCGACGACCCCCCCCAAGCAUCGAAAAAGCCAAGAAAUUUCCUCUUCUUACUUAGUAAACCUUGCACGAUUCGAGUAGCUAAGGCGCCUCGAGCCCCUCAAAGGCCGAGGGACAACGAGCCUGAGAACUCCUAUGCCCUCGGGCUACGGAAACUCUACUCACUUCCUUUCCCUUGAGGUGAUCGAGGUCGUUUUUAACGAAAGAUCAAACAAGGAAUACAAACGUAGGCGCAAAGAGAAAUAAAAGAACCUCGAUAGACAAAUAAACAUUUAGCAAUUACAAAAAGAUACUGUAUCAUUUAAAAAGCAUAUUGACAAAGUAUUAUACAAGGGGCCCUAGGCACCCUGCGCAGGCUCGCAGGCCUCAGUCCAUGACACGAUCCUCACCACCCCCGCCUGCGCCCGAGCCAGUGUCAGGAGGAAGCACCUCAGGCUCAAAAAGCUUAGCCAGCCUUUCCCCAGGAGCCUCCGCGUCGUCGAUCAAGGCGUGGAGCCUCUCUUCGUUCUCCGCGUCGGUCUUGGAGAUGUCGAUGACGAAGCCGUGGGACACCACCUCCAUGUCAUAGGAGAAGCCCGAGCAGACAACUGCCAUCGCCCGCUUCACCCCGAUGUGGAGGGCAUCCCGCACUCGGUCUCUCAGCGUCGCGCCUAAGUAGCAUAGCAGGUCGACCAGUGCGUCGCCUCGAGCUCCCUCCCUCGACUCGUCCAUAGGCUCGACCUCCCAAGAGGUCGAGAGGUCGCCUAUCGCCGUCCGCACACGACGGUUCAAAGCAACCUCUGCCUCGAGCUGGGCCUUAGCAUUACGGGCCUCGACUUGGGCGGCUAGGAGUUCGUCCUUAAGCCCUGCAAACGCCAAUACAAGAAACUUUAGGAAAAACUGAGCACACCUCGAAAAAGAAAUCCGACAAAGGUAACGUACCACGGAUGCUCUCCUCCAGGGCCGUGUUUUCACCGACUAAUCUGGUGUUGGCCCUCUCGAGCUCUCUGUUGGAACGGGCCAGCUCGGUGUUGGCGACGCGGAGAUCCUCGAUCACCUUGCCAGCCUGAGCAAUGGCCCCACUCUUCUCCAGCAGUUCUCCCUUCAGACGUUCGAUGUCGUCAGAGAGCCUGCGGGAUUGAGCCCGCUCCGCCUCGAGAUCUUCGAGGGCCUUCCUCUUGGCUUCCUCCGCGGCGCUCCUGGCGAUCUCGCCGUUCACGUGCUCCACCUUCAUCUUCUGGAAGGACUCUCGGUGGGAGUCCAGGUCGGUCUUGAGAAGGCCCUUCUCCUUGUCCAGGUCCGCAAUAAUGCUCUUGUAGGACAGGGCCUCCUCCCGGGCUCUGGAUGCAGCCUCCUCGACCGUCAGAGCCCGCUCCCGCAGCAGCGUCGUCUCCUCCUCCACCUUCUUCAAGGCCUCUCGAGCCUCUGCGAAGGCAGCCUCCCUCGCCUUUUUUUCCUCCUCAAGCGCUAUGAGGUCUUUAUAAGCCUUGAGGAGUUUCUCCUGCGACUCGAGGAGUUGAUCCUUGAGGACGGGGAGCUGCUCCCAGCCGCCUCGCGUGGCGUGGAUGAAGCUCGACUAGAUGUGGGAGGUCUCUUUCAUAUCCUGUGAGCCGGCGGACGAACAGUUAGAGCACAAAACCAAAAGGCUCUAUGGAGAUCAAAGAUCGAAAGACACUUACAAAAUAAGCAGGCCCGAGCCCGUUGUUGAUGAUGUCCGACAGGAGCCCCACCACGUGCUUCAUCCAAAGGCGGAGCUCCUCGACAUGUUCCCACUUCUCGGCCUCCUUCUUGUCGUCGAGGAAGAUGUUGGGCUCGGACGGAUCGGUGGAAGCCCGGAUACGAAUCCGAUCGGGGCACCAGUUCUCCAUCUCUCGAUCAGCCCGCGCCUUGACACCGCGGAUAAGGUUCUCGACGGUCUCGAGGGAGCCCCAUGGCGCAAGAAUAGGUCGACAAGGCAUGGGAACCGCCCGUAGUCGUCCACCGUCUUCCAGGUACCGUCCUUGCUCCCUGACGACCCGAUCUCGUCCUCCUCGGAGGGAAAGCAGUCCUCCCAUGCUCGACGCUCCCGGAGGAACCGUGGGGCGAUCCCAUCCAUGCCGUAGAUCGUCCUCUUGAUCUCGGACUCGGGAUCGGUGGGGGUGCGUGUUGGGUAUUUUAAACGCAAACAGAAAAAAUCCGCAAGCACACGGAUACCGAUGUAGCCUUCACCCGAGUGUAUUCCAGAGUAUCGAUUUUCCACAGAGAACGUGAGUGUACUAAUUAAGAUCCAAGAUCGCCCAAGGAUAACUAUAUAAUUAUUUUUGGUGGGAAGAGAGGAAGUUUCCUGAGAGUUCUCUAGUUGAUCUAAGAAUCAAGAAUUACUUCAAGAUUAUCUAUAUCGGGACAUCAGAACACUAACCACAGAAAGAGAUGAGAAGGGGGCUAGGAAGCUCCGACUACGGUCCUACAAACACCGAUCCGAACGAGGUGGAAUACGUCGACCGUUAAGGCUGUCACUACCCUAAGGCUACCACAACAAUCCGCAAGAUUGGGUGCAAUUCCAGGUAAUUGCAAGACUAAACACCACGUCUAAUCUAUUAAUUACUACUCUAGCGUUAUAAAGAUUAGAGCACUUGAUGCAAGCGGGAAUCCAAUAAAUAACUUGAAUGUAAAUAAAAGUAAUUAGAGAACUCAGGAAUUAUGAAUUGAAGAACCUAGAGAACGAUGAAGAAUGAACUAGAUGCUGCAAAAGUAUAAUGUUGAGGAAGAUCCGACAGAUCCGGCUCCUCCUCCGCUCUCCUCUUCUCUCUCCCUAUUUUCUAGAUUACAACUAGAACGAACUAGAACUAUAACUAGAAGAACUAGAAUUAACUAGAUGAACUAGAACAAGAUCUAGAUGAACUAGAGGUAGAACUAGAAGAACUAGAGGGAUCCUCUCUACUUGGAUGAAGAAUUGAAACCCUAACUUUGAUUCUAUAGAAGAGGUAUGAUCUCCAGGGGCCAGGGGGCCUUGCUUAUAUAGUCUUUUCAGAUGAAUCUGGGCCGUCGGAUCAAACCGACAUUGAUCACACGGUUUUCCUUGAUCCUUUAGGUCGGUGGAGCAUAAUACGCGAAACGGGUCCGAAUUGGACAGUGUAGCUGGGCGGGCGCCUAGGAGAGUUGGGCGGGCGCCCUGCCUCCGAGCUCGAUCGGCCUCCCGUUCGUUCCCGUGGCUUCUUGAGUCUUCUAGAUGGUAGAAAAUUGUGCGGCACGUUAAUAUCUCCAUGUAAACCCGACGUGUGGGCCUUUCUUUCAUAUUUCCUGAUCACCCCCUGCAGAAAUAGACAAACACCAAAACUCGUGGAAUUUUGUCAGAUAAAACCCUAAGUCUAGGUGUUGGUUGCAUUUGGAUCCUUUUCUAUGAUUAGUUGACGGUUAAAUGUGAGCAUUAAGGACGGUCAACAAGCUCCCCCAAGCUUAACCUUUGCUCGUCCCUAAGGAAAGAUGGACUCAAGAGUUUCUGCAGUGGUUUCACGCCUUAAAGAUACACAUGCGUUCAAAUAAGAUCUCAUCUCUAGGUUAGGGUAAACUGUUAAGAUUUAAACUUACUCAUUUUACCUUCCACCAUGCGGCUUGCAACCGUCACCUGUGUCUUGAGCAGUUAAAAGAUAGAACGGUCUAGUCAAGCGCCAUGUCUCUUGUUCUUCGAUUAACUAUAGCUCUGGAGUUUUUGCAGAUUUUCAAAUAAAACUCACAGAUUCCUUGUAUGACUCUCUCUAGUCUCUCUUUUGUGAUAUUUUUGGAUCCUUACCAAGGCAGUGAUGGUAUAUGCCUUCUCUCAAAGUAUAUAGUAUUUGUGGUAUGAAGCAUAGUGGCAUUGCCUUUUCUCUCACCCUACUCUAAUAAGGUUUUGAUAUCUGGAGCUCAUAGGUGGGAGACAGCUAAUACAUACUUACAAGACAUUUAUUGCAUAGUCAAACCAUGGAUCCAGAAGAACAAGUCAAUAAGUCAAAUCAAGAUGUGCAUGUGUGGCGAAUGAAUGGUGUAUGGUAAUGAUGGUGAUAACAAUGGUGGAAGUCUAAUUCUACUUGUGCUCUUUUGAGGGGAUACAUACCUUUCUUGCUCUUUUGAAACUUUUUGAGGAGAAUGACAUGCUCGAUAUUUUCUUUUUUUUCUUUUCUCUCAGGUGGGUAUCUUGUACCCCUAAUUCUACUGUCGGACACUUGUCCAUUUUUACCUCUCAUCUCACUUUUUUUUUCUUUUCUUUCGAGGUUCCGGGCACUUGCCCCUUUUUAUUUCCUCGUAUUUUUUUUCUCUCUCUUUUUUUAGAGCACUCAUCUCAUGAGAUAAUAUAGCAAGUGGUAGUAACCAAGAUAACUUGAGCAUUUAUUUCACAGGGGAAAAACAGAAAUGUUUUUGGCUAUUCUCUCCCGGAUUAGGAGUAGAAUAUUUUUAGGUGGCUCUGGAGAUGGAAAUGAGUGGAUGUGUGUGGAUGCGUACUUCCAGAGGAGAAGCAGCAUGUAUGAGUGAACGUGCAAGUGAAUCUUGACUUAACCACAUGACAAGCUCCUAAGGGUCUACACAGCUUGACCACACUCAAUGCUCAUAAGCAGUAAAAAGCAAAUGUGUGGCUCAAAGUCUAGCAAGCAUGUAUAUAUGGCUGUGGUAGGAAUUUAAACUCUCAUCAUACAGGAACUCAUCAUGCAACAUUUUAAAGAUUUUCAAAGAUAAAAUUCUCCAGAAUUCUAGCAUCUCUAGGAACAGAUAAACAGCAGCUCAACCUUCCCAUAUCAUAUCCGUUAACGACUUAGACUUCAGAUCAAUUACUCUUCCCACAAGUUCAGGUUUAGAGCAAAUCUUAAUUCAUAACAGUGAUGCCUAAACUUGAGAGAGAUUUCAAUUUUGAGAACUAGUCAUGGCAGAGCAACUAUUCAUCAUUUCCAUGUGAGAGCUUAUCAUGAGGGUUCAUAGCAAACUUUAUUUAUUUAUUUAUUUAGCAAACUAAGCAAAGACAUAUAUAAGCACAGAAUCUUUAUUUUGGUUUUUAUGAUUAUGCAUCUUUUUAUUAUUUGAGUAAAAUAUAAACGUGAGUAGAACACUUAGCUGGAUAAAUAGGGGUGCUCUUACCCAAGCUGGAUUUUGACGUAAUUCCUUUUGAUGUAGCUAGCAAGUGGUGGAGGAGUAUUUGAAUGUCGGCAGCACCCUGACAGCGAUUAGGAUGUCCUCCGUCUGCUAGUCUUCUUUGAUCCUUGAAUUCUGUGGAGCUCAAAUAGACAAAAAAAAGCUUUGUGGAACUGGUUAAGUGUUAGCAUAAAUAUCUAGCCUUUAUCAUGUUGAGCCUCCUCAAUAAAUGUUACUCUCUUUAGUAGGAUCAUUUAUUUAUUUUUAUAUUCUCAUUUUUAUAGGACAAGAAUAUAUUUAUUUCAUUUUUAUGCCACCACAGUUAAUGUACUUAUGGGUUUUAUGCCAUGAGCAUACUCACAUGGGGCUUACUAUUUUUAACAUUUUUAUUUUCUUUUCAAGAUGAUAUGAACCUGAUUAACUAAGCAAACCAUUUUAAAAUAAUUGAAAGGGAAAGGAUAACUACCAAGUUUACCUCUUAGCAAGGCGUUCGGUGUUUUUAAGUCCUCCGAACGGGACCCUCCGUUUUCUCAGUCGUCCUGGGAUUCGCUGGAUGGCGUAGUCGGUGGUUCCGGCGGCGCCUGCUCUUCAUGUAUAACUAUCUUCUCUCUACACACCUGACUCGGUGCUACGGUCUCCUCAGGAUAGUUCUGUUCAAGUUGUAUGUCUUCAGACCUUACAACUUCUCCUUCACAGCCAACCCAUCCGUCCUUGAUGAUUUUGCCUUCUCUGGUUACGGUUGCGUCGUCUUCUUCUUGUCCUGACCUGCUUAGAGUCUUCAACUGUAUAAUUAAGGUCAGUAAAAUAGCGGUGUACCUUGUUAGAGGGGAAGUGCAUGUGGACUUCUUUGGUUCCAAUCUAGAUGAUUGCUUUAACAGUGCUGAGGAACGGUCUUCCAAGGAUGAUGGGUGGAUCGUGCUCGUCUUCUCCAAUGUCAAUAACUUUCAAUCUUUCAGAAUGUCUGAUCUGCCAUCUGGAGCUGAAUGUAUGUUGGUUGUAGGGACAUGGUUCCAUGCAGGAGCUGAUAAGUGACUGCGGCCAUUAUGUUGACGUUAGAUCCGGUGUCGUAGAGUGUCUUCUGAAAAGAAUAUCCGUUGAUUGUGCACUCGAUGCUUGGGACACCAGGGUCGUCCUUCUUGAUCAAGAAAGGUGACUUGAGUUGACGAUCUUGACCUCCUUGAGCUGCAGUGACCAUCUUAGCUGACUCGGUACACAUUUGCUUGUUCUUGUUCCUCCUGUUGGUCCUCUUCCUUGGUUCAUGUCGGGAUUUCUCUGGGAUUUGUGUAGUCUUGUUUCUUGAAGGAAAACGUCUCCUUCUUCCCCUUGAUGUAGAAACUGAUCUUGGCAGCACUAGCGUAGAUGACAGCUCCCGAGGUGUUCAGGAAUGGCUUCCCCUAGGUAUAAUGUUGACGCUGGAGCCAAAGUCGCAGAGUACUUCUAGGAAGUCCACCAUGCCGAUGGAGAUUGGGAUGACGGGGUGUCCUAGAUUGUCUCUCUUGACCGGCAGAAGGUCAGUAAUUACUUCCACAACGAGGUUACUCCAGUAGUUACAUCCUCAAGCAUCUUAGGGCAGUGUUUGCAUGAGUGUCCAGUAUCUCCAGCGUGUUUGUGCUCAUAGAUCAAGGUUCUUCACUUUGGUGGAGUCUGGGAGUUGUAAAACUCCUUCAUAUUUUGCUCAAAGUGUACCUACUCAUAGAGACAAGGCAGAGAUCAAGUGCAUGGGCCCUGUUGGUGGAAAACACCAACAGAACCAAAAGUGUAUUUGUUCUCUCUAACCUUAAGCAUAGUGAGCAAGACAAAGUUGAUGGAUAAUAGGAUCAUGAGUGUAGCAUUUAAAACAUUUGUCAGAUCACAUCGCUCAACCUAAUGGAAAGAUUAUCUAUCUAUAUUUAUUUUUUUAUAUAUAUAAAAUAUAUCUUCCAAAGAUUGAGUGUGCAACAUUUUAGCUCAUAUGAUUAGGAGUGUGGAAUCACAAAGGUGGAAGGAUUAAACAUAUUGAAUUGACUGGGUUGGUUAAUCUAGAGUUGUAAAUCAUACAUGUUUGUCUCUUUUAUUCAUGUGAACGCCAGAACCAAGGAGAAGCUAAUAGAAGUGAUAGUCAAGUACCUUAAGAUGUUACCUUACUUGAAGAGUGAUGGUACGGUAUCUCCUUGUGGAAGCUUUCCUCUCUUAGCAGUUGUGCAUUGUGUUUGUGGCACCCUCCAUGGAUCAUCUCUUGUGAGCUAUGCCUUCCUUGUGUAAAUUGUUAAACUUGAUGUGUGUCUCUCUUUGUCUCCAAUGUGAGUUUAUCUCAGGACUUCCCAGGUCGAUAUUGAAAGUUUUCCUGCAGGGGUUAGUCCAACAAAAUAUACCAAUGUCUACACAAGUUGUUUUUAGUUCAAUAACCAAACUAGACUCCAUGUCUAAUUAGAUUAAGGAAGGCUGUUUAACCUAAGCACCAUGCUUAAUUUAAAAACCAAUAGAAGUAUGUACAGUACUUCCAAACUAACACUUAGUAGGAUAAACAAAGGUAGCGUGAUGGCUUUUAUAGAGAUCUACUCAAAUGGAGAUGAAGUAGUGUGAUUACUAUUUAACAAAUUGAGCAUGUCUCAAAGGUAGGGACAACCAACAUAGCAACAUGGCAAAUGAUGUUUUUAUAUAAAGUACUCCCCCAAGCUUGAAUUUUGCAAAAUUCAAGUUUGGAUGAAUUUAAUUCAAUGUUGUAUGAUGAUUGGUUGGACAUACCUUGUGCUUGUCAUUCAUCCGAUCUUCUUGCUCCAAUCCUGGAAAGGUUAGUGACAAGAAUACCCGAAGGAAUAUUUUUACAAUUAUCCUUAUAUGCUCAAUACACAAGGUAGUGUUGCAAAUAACUAAAAGCUCAUGUUACGAUGUGAUCAGUGCUUGUUUUAGGACACUAAGCUUGUCCUUGGGAAACCAUCAAUUUAUGUCGGCGAAGUGGUUUCCCCUCCAACGCUGACCUAUAUCAAGAUCAACUCAACGAGAUCUGCAAUAUUUAAUAUAGACAUAUGCAUCGACAUCCGCCCUUUUAAAGUUUUUAUAAAUAGAAAGGAAGUGGGGGUUGGAGAUCUCGAAUGUGGUGAUGUUGGAGAGACCAAUGGAUUGUGAAGAUGUUGCAUAUGAGCAUGGAGUAAAUGAAGUGGCUAUGAAAUAAAUUCCAUGCUCAUUAAUGCUUAGAGUGAAAUCCAUGUGGUAUGGUGAAAAUGAUAAGGUGAGUGUGGUAAAUAAGGAAAAGAAAAAGGAUACACGGACGACUUGGUUCGAAACUAGCACAGCUACCGUUCCCCGGCAACGGCACCAGAAAGCUUGUUGGGUAUUUUAAACGAAAACAGAAAAAAUCCGCAAGCGCACGGAUACCGAUGUAGCCUUCACCCGAGAGUAUUCCAGAGUAUCGAUUUUCCACAGAGAACGUGAGUGUACUAAUUGAGAUCCAAGAUCGCCCAAGGAUAACUAUAUAAUUAUUUUUGGUGGGAAGAGAGGAAGUUUCCUGAGAGUUCUCUAGUUGAUCUAAGAAUCAAGAAUUACUUCAAGAUUAUCUAUAUCGGGACAUCAGAACACUAACCACAGAAAGAGAUGAGAAGGGGGCUAGGAAGCUCCGACUACGGUCCUACAAACACCGAUCCGAACGAGGUGGAAUACGUCGACCGUUAAGGCUGUCACUACCCUAAGGCUACCGCAACAAUCCGCAGGAUUGGGUGCAAUUCCAGGUAAUUGCAAGACUAAACACCACGUCUAAUCUAUUAAUUACUACUCUAGCGUUAUAAAGACUAGAGCACUUGAUGCAAGCGGGAAUCCAAUAAAUAACUUUAAUGUAAAUAAAAGUAAUUAGAGAACUCAGGAAUUAUGAAUUGAAGAACCUAGAGAACGAUGAAGAAUGAACUAGAUGCUGCAAAAGUAUAAUGUUGAGGAAGAUCCGACAGAUCCGGCUCCUCCUCCGCUCUCCUCUUCUCUCUCCCUAUUUUCUAGAUUACAACUAGAACGAACUAGAACUAUAACUAGAAGAACUAGAAUUAGAACUAGAUGAACUAGAACUAGAUCUAGAUGAACUAGAGGUAGAACUAGAAGAACUAGAUGGAUCCUCUCUACUUGGAUGAAGAAUUGAAACCCUAACUUUGAUUCUGUAGAAGAGGUAUGAUCAAUAGGGGCCAGGGGGCCUUGCUUAUAUAGUCUUUUCAGAUGAAUCUGGGCCGUCGGAUCAAACCGACAUUGAUCGCACGGUUUUCCUUGAUCCUUUAGGUCGGUGGAGCAUAAUACGCGAAACGGGUCCGAAUUGGACACUGUAGCUGGGCGGGCGCCCAGGAGAGUUGGGCGGGCGCCCUGCCUCCGAGCCCGAUCGGCCUCCCGUUCGUUCACGUGGCUUCUGGAGUCUUCUAGAUGGUAGAAAAUUGCGCGGCACGUUAAUAUCUCCAUGUAAACCCGACGUGUGGGCCUUUCUUUCAUAUUUCCUGAUAACCCCCUGCAGAAAUAGACAAACACCAAAACUCAAGAAAUUUUGUCAGAUAAAACCCUAAGUCUAGGUGUUGGUUGCAUUUGGAUCCUUUUCUAUGAUUAGUUGAUGGUUAAAUGUGAGAAUUAAGGACUGUCAACAGUGCGCAUCAUACAGGCGAGCGCCACCACUCCAUCCGCUCGCCCCGACUCUGCCCGGAUCGCGGCAGGCGCCCCCGGGAGGAGCCACGCCGGGGUGGGAGGGCCGUACACCGGCAAAUCUUCCUCCUGAUCGCCGGGCUCUUGUGGCGCCGGUGGUACCGGUUGGGCCAGACCUUGAGGCAGGGGCUCGAGCGGCCUUUCCUCUUGGCCCCCAUGCUCCUCCUGCUGCUGUUGUUCCCCCUGCUGCUGCUGUUGUUGCAGCCCCUCGGGCGUUUGCUGCUCCUGCUGCUGCUGUUCCUCCUGCUGAUGUCGCUGCUGCUGCUGCUGCUCCUGUGGCGGCCGCAUCGCCUCGCGCUCCCGCUCCUCCCCCUCCUUCUCUUUCUCCUUCUGCUCCUCGAGGGCUCGAAGGCCAGUGGGCCAGGGAGUCCGUCCUGAGAUGAGAGAAGUCGACGCCUCCUCCUCCAUAGGUUGGGCGUCCCCAGACACCUCGUUACCACCAGACGUGUCACUGAUGGUGAUGGGGUCCGCCUCGACCCCCAAUCGGGGAGGCUCGGGGGCUCCUUCCUGCCCCUGAGUUCGGGGCGCCUCGUCACGCGUCGACGGCAUCGGAGUAGGCUCGGGACGAGACAGAGCACUCCAAGCGUCGGCCGAAGGUUGAGAGUCGGAGGGGCCUGUGAAGUAAAGAAUAAAGGUCGGUCACUGUAAUAAUCGAUACAAGAACGUCACAAGACCCAGAAACAAACUACAAACCUGGCUCUUUGGAGGCUGCUCCUGCCUUGAGCCUCUUCGCCAUUGAAGGCUGGGCCUGCUCGAGCGUCCGCUUCAGCCUAAAAAGAAGGAAACGAGCAUGAAAAGACUAGAGUACGGGGAAACACGAGGGAAUGGGUAAAAAAAGUCACAACUUCAAAAGGCUUACCCUACGGGAAGAACAGCUCGCCUACCGGUACCCCGACUGGUGGGCCUCGGGCCACCCCGCGUCAAGGCUUCGGGCCCCUCGAGUGCAGGUACUGGCCCUGGCACAGCAAUUCCCGCUUGGCGGGCACCGGGACUGGCGCUCCUGCGGCCGGCCUCUCCUUUCUCGGAGGCCGCGGCGCGAUCGCGAGUAAGUGGCCCCGUCGCCUGGGGCCUAGCAUGGCCACCCACCCUGGGCGCGGGGGGAAGGCGCGGCGCGACCUGGCCAGUCGAGGGUGCAGGAGGCGUGUCGGCCCGAGGGCGUUGGGAGAGGGUAAGUUUGGAUUAGUAGGGAGACCUUAAAGGUUAGCAAGAAUGGGAUUGAUUCUAUACAAUGCAACCCAAACAAGAGGAAGAAAUUUAACCAAGUGACAUAUCAUGAUGCCUGCACGUACUUACGAUUCGUACUAGAAAUUCAUAACGAUAUUACUUAAAACUUUACAACAUAGGGCAAAACUUUAUGUUACUCCUCCACAUGAGUUCAAAAAUUCUAGCAAAGCCUACAAACAAGGGUAAGGUAGGACUAAAGCACUUGGACUCAAAAUAGGCAAGUUUUAGUAUUGGAUCCAAAUGGUUUUGAAGUUUUUCAAAGGAUACAACAGUCAUCUUAGCAACGAAUGCUCCGAUACCAGCUGUGGCAGAACCUCCUAAGUGUUUGGGCCCACCGACACCUGUCAUUGUCCUAAGGACCUUUGACGGUGAUGUCGGGGAUCCUCCCACUCUAGAAGUCCGAUGAGCAUCUCAGGACUCUCAUUCCACCGCUACCUGUGGCGUAUCAAGCAAGCUCGUCCUGACCACUAGCGAUGGUCAAUUAACGAUAACUUCUUCUUCUUGCCCUUAGAGGAUAGCAAGUGGCCACCUUAACACCAGGAUCACUCGUUGCGAAGACAUUGCAGUAUCACAAACGACAUAAGACCAAAAUAAUAUUUCAGAGUAAAACAGCGGAAGCAUUACGUAACUUAAUUUACAAAAGUAGUUCAUCCAAAUAGUAGAGUGUUAUUACAAGCCAGGUCCAGCGGAGCAACUUAAACUUUAGUACACAGAUUACAAAUAUACAGACCCUGCCCAUGGGUCACGCUCACUCUUCCUCGUUGUCAACCUCGACAACAGUCACACAACAGGGUCCGAAACAUGUCGGCUCCUGAGCUUCACCUGCAAUAGGGGUUAUGAAACCCUGAGUACGGGAGUACUCAAAAAGACUUACCCGGCGGAAAAAGAGGAGAAAGUAAGAAUGCAGGAUUGGGGUAGACAAGGAGUGGCUGAGCAAGGAGCCAAGUUGUUUUGCUAAAAAGCUUACUAAUAGUGCAUCCUUACUUUCAAGUUUUACCCGCGAAUUCCUCUCCUCAAGAGGCCGAGGAGUUUGAGGACACUCUAUCUAGUUGCUUCUCACAGACAAGUCUGUAAGUUCCUAGUCCUUAACCAAAGUAUUAUCUAUCCAACGGCCAUAGCUUCAUGCCACUCUGAGUCCGGGAAUUGGGAUCCGAACCUCAUGAGACAUUUCCCCCUUUCUCAUUUUAUCACUUAGUUGCAUAUUUAACUAUGAUGAGGGUCGAAGGAAUUGAGUCUCCCAAUCGGGGAGUGUUGACGAUCCUUAAGUAUUAAAUUUAAUUAUCAAAUAAACAGAGAAAAGGAUCCAAAUGAAAUCAACAUCUAGACUUAGGGUUUUACCUGACAGAAUUCCAUGAGUUUUGGUGUUUGUCUAUUUCUGCAGGGGGUUAUCGGGAAAUACGGAAGAAAGGCCCACACGUCGGAUUUACAUAGAGAUAUUAACGUGCCGCGCAAUUAUUUUACAUCUAGAAGACUCUAGAAGCCACGGGAAGAAAGCGGAGGCCGAGAGGGGCCAGAGGCAGGGCGCCCGCCCCCUCUCUGAGUCCAAUCAGGACUCUGUUUCUCGGGAGAUCUCCACCGACCUAAAGGAUCAAGGAUAACCGUUCAAUCAAUGUCGGUUUGAUCCAACGGCCCAUAUUCACUUGAAGGGACUAUAAAACCAGACCGCCUGGCCCCUGGAGGAGAGAGCCUCUCAACCCUAAUUCAUUAUUUUUUAAGGGAGAAGAAGCCUCUGAUCAAGAUUAGAGCCACCACAUCAAUUAGAAAUCUAGAUUAGCAUAGCUACAUAGGAUUAGAACUAGAAGGAGUCAAUCUUCGAUUGGUUUCCGGAUCUGUCAGGAGGAUUCUUGGUAAUUCUCUAAUUGUGCUUCUAAUUGUUCUUCUAAUUAUCUUUGUUCUUCAAUAUUAUGAAUAUGACUUUGUUCUACUUCAAUAUAUUGCUUACGACUUUGCUCUACUUGCUUAUAUUCAAGAUUAUAUUGUUCUUAGUUUAUCAUAGUUAUGUACUUGGCUUAGUUAGAUUGGAUCUAUAUACAUGCUUAGGAUCGUAUAGCGUUUAUCCAUUGGAUCCAUGGGUAAAUGAUAGAUAUUGUGUAGGCGUGGUGCUUAUACCGUAUUUAUCUGUGAUUGUACCCAAUAUGCCAGAUCGUGGGGUAGUUCGUGAUAGUGACAGCUUCAUUGAUUCUUAUAUAGUCCCCCUCUCGUGUAUUGGGCUGGCAGAUCAAUAUUAUUACAGGGGAGUGAUUGCUAUGUUUCUCAUUUACCUUGCUAAUAUCACUAUGCAUGGGCGUAGUCUUGUCUCACAAUGAUUGCUAAGUAUGCUUGCACUAACUAUGAUAAUGCUAGACUAUAUAGUUGAGAAUAACUUAGGGAAUAUUCUUGUAGUUCGUUCUAAUACCAUACUAACGACUUUCUAGAGUAUCUAAUUGAGGUGCUUAUCAUAUUUAUUAUGUGGCUAAGUUAUGAUCAGAUUAAUUAUCUUUGUCACUAUUCAUUAUUUCAUAUAUCCUUUAUGUGACACUUAUCCCUGUAUGAAAGGGUUAGAUAAAUGUUCUCAAUUAUACAUGCAAUGAUAGAUACUCAAUCUCAUAUUCUAUUCUGUAAUCAAUAUUGAUGAUUGUUAAUCCCUUCCCAGUGUUAAAAAUAUAAAUAACGAUACCUGGAAUACUUCCCGGUUAAAAUGCUACAUCGGUAUUAAUCUGUGCGCUUGCAGAUCCCAUUCAUUAUUUAUUUAGAAGAGCAAUUGCAUAUUUCAAUACCGUGUCUCUCAUGUCAUGCUGGGGAUGACAACUUGGCUUAAGUGGUGUGAGGGAUAGGUUUGGCAUUUUUGGCACCGUUACUAGAUUUAGAGAACUUAGUCUACUUUUGGUAAUGAUGUUAAGAAUACCCAACAAGCAUUUUUGGCGUCGUUGCCGGGGAAGGUUGAUUACUAAUCAAGAAUGGAAUAAAGGAUUUUGAGUUAUCAUUCACAUCACUAAUAUGAUUGAGCUUAUCUAUUCUCUCAUACAGCUUUACCCCGAUAUUUUUCUAUGUUAUCUUAUGCAGGGGAAUGUAUGAAUAGAAGACAUCUUCCAGGAAAUUUUGUUGACAAUCCUGAAGUGUUAUUCAGAAGAACUAGAGCCAAGAUCAAGAAGAGAUCAUCAACACUUCAGCAAGAAGCUUCAUCCAAUCAAGAAGAUCACCGGAACUUGUCUUCAGAGUUCGAUGCCAUGGCGAACAAAUCAAUCCAUGAGUUCUCAGCUCCCACUACGGACAACAUCCGCACUGGAGCUGCUGCAGAGAUCGAUGGCAAUUUUGAGCUCAAGCCUGGACUUAUCAACAUGGUGCAAUCCAACCAGUUCUGUGGAAAGGCACACGAAGAUGCUAGUGCUCAUCUACAACACUUCCUCGAGAUUUGCAACACAUUUACCAUAUCAGGAGUUUCCAAAGAUGCUAUACUACUUCGCCUCUUCCCAUUCUCACUGUUAGGGAGAGCGAAGCAGUGGUUCUACGCUACAAAGGAGAAGAAUACUACGUGGGCACUCUGCUCAACAAACUUCCUGGCAAAGUUCUUUCCCAUGGGCAAGACCAAUGCUCUCCGUGGGAAGAUUACAAGUUUUCAGCAACAAAAUGAUGAAUCCAUUCCAGAAGCAUGGGAGCGCUUUCAAGACUACACCUUAGAAUGUCCCCAUCAUGGAAUGGAGAGUUGGCUAUUGAUGCAGACAUUUUAUCAUGGUCUCGGCAAUAGUGCCCGAGAGACCAUGGAUGCUGCAGCUGCAGGAGCAUUCUUAUCACUUACCAUACCACAAGCCAUAGCUCUUGUGGAGACGAUGGCGUCCAACCAAGGCUGGAAUGAAGAGAGGACCCAGACACGCAAGAGAGGUGGAGGUAUGCAUCAGCUCAAGGAGGUAGACAUGUUGUCUGCAAAGCUAGACCUGCUCAUGAAGAAGCUCGACGAUAGAGCUGGAGAUAAUAAAGAAGUUAUGCACAUCUACGACUCUCACAUGACUUGUGAGGAGUGUGGAGACACUGGACACUCAGGCAAUUACUGUCCUGAGAUACUUGAGGAUGUGAACUACAUCAACAAUAACAACAACAACUACUACAACCGUCCUCAACAAAAUCAAGGUUGGAAUCAACAGAGGCCUAACUACUCAGGUAAUUAUCAAGGUAACAAUUCUUACAACAAUAAUAAUAAUAAUAAUUUUCCACCUCUGAGAGAGUUAGUGUCUAAUCAAGGAAAGCUAAUGGAUAACCAAUCUAAGAAAUUGGCAUCUAAUGAUAAAAUGCUAGAAAAUAUAAAUAAUAGAAUGGAUAAUUUCUCUACUGCCAUCAGUAAUCAAAUUAGCUUUAAUAAAAUGAUUGAAUCCCAGUUAAAUCAAAUAGCUGCUGCUGUUCCUACUACUAUCCCCGGUAUACCAUCACAACCGGAAGGAUUAGAAUCUGCAAAUCUUGUAGACAUGUUUGAUGCAGGUAAUAACUGGAGUAACCUCGUCACUGAAUUCACUACUGACCUUCUGCCGGUCAAGAGAGGCGACCCAGGACGCCCCGUCAUCCCGAUCUCCAUCGGCAUGGUGGACGUCCCAGAAGCACUCUGCAACUUUGGCUCUAGUGUCAACAUUAUACCCAGGGUACUCUAUGAAAAAUUCUUUACAUAUCCUUUAUUAGAAACAACCAUGUGUUUGCAGUUUGCAGAUCAGGCGAUAAGUUUUCCAAAACGAAUAUUGAAGAACCUUUGUGUCUAAGUUGGUACCUUAUAUGCCCCAGCAGACUUCGUAGUGGUAGAGACCGGUAAUGAUGAGAGAGCACCUAUCAUCCUAGGGAGGCCAUUCUUGAACACCUCGGGAGCUAUUAUCUACGCCAGUGCUGCCAAGAUCAGUUUCUAGAUCAAAGGGAGGAAGGAGAAAUUUUUCAUCAAGAACAAGACUACACAAAUUCUAGAUCAAUCCAGACGUGAAUCAAGGAAGAGGACCAACAGGAGGAACAAGAGCAAGCAAGUGUGGACCGAGUCAGCUAAGAUGGUCACUAUAGUUCAUGGAGGUCAAGAUCAACAACUUAAGUCACCGUUUUUGACCAAGAAGGACGACCCAGGAAUGCCAAGCAUCUAUUGCUCCAUAAAUGGAUACAACUUUUACAAGACGACUUGUGACACCGGAUCGGGCGUCAACAUAAUGGCCGCAGUCACCUAUCGGCUCUUGUUCAGAACCAUGCCCCUAAAACCAACAUACAUUCAGCUCCAGAUGGCAAAUCAGAUGUUUCGAGAAGUUAAAGGAAUAGUAACUGAUGUCCCAGUCAAAAUAGACGAUCAUUUUGUCUACACAGACUUUCAGGUUAUUGACAUGGGAGAAGAUGAGUACGAUCCACCCAUCAUCCUUGGAAGACCGUUUCUCAGCACCGUUAAAGCAAUUAUCUACAUUGGAACUGGAGAAGUCCAUAUGCACUUCCCCUCAGAGAAGGUACGCUGUUAUUUUACUGACCCUAACUACAUCUUUGAAGAAUCUAAGUAGGUAAGAAAGCGACGCAACCGCAACCAGAGGAUGCAGAUCAUCAAGGACGGAUGGGCAGACUAUGAAGGAGAAGUUGUAAGGUCAGAAGACGUAGAAUUUAAACAGAAUUAUCCAGAGGAGACCGUAGCACCGAGUCAGGUAUGGAAAGAGAAGAUAACUAUACAUGAAGAGGAGGCGCCGCCGGAAGUACCGACUACGCCACCCAACGAAUCCCAGGACAAUUGAGAAAAAAGGAGAGUCCCGUUCGGAGGACUUAAAAACACCGAACGCCUUGCCAAGAGGUAAACUUGGUAGUUAUCCAUUCCCUUUCAAUUAUUUCAAAUAGUUUGCUUAGUUACUUAUGUUCGUACUAUCUGAAAAAUAAAAUAAAAAUGUGAAAACAGUAAGCCCCAUGUGAGUAUACGAGUGGCAUAAAACCCAUAAGUACAUUCACUGUGGUGGCAUAAAAAUAAAAUAAAUAUUUCUUUUCUGCUUUAUAAAACAAAAAAUAUAAAAAUAGGGAGUAAUAUUUACUAAGGAGUCUCAACAUGAUAAAGGCUAGAUAUUUAUGCUAACACUUAAUCAGUUCCACAAGCUUUGUUGUCUAUUUGAGCUCCACAGAAUUUAAGAAUCAAGAAGACUAGCAGACGGAGGACAUUCUAAUCGCUAUGAGGAUACUGCUGACUUUCAAAUACACCUCCGCCACCUGCUAGCUACAUCAAGAGAAAUUACAUCAAAAUUCAGCUUGGGGGAGAGCACCCCCAUUUCUCCCGAUAAGUAUUUCUAUCUAUCUAUCUUUAUACUUAUACUAUAUUAAAAUAUAACUAUGAAAAACCAAAUAAAGAUUUUAUGCUUAUAUAUAUAUUUUGCUUAGUGUGUUUAAUAAAUAAAUAAAGUGGCUAUGCUAAUCUGUAUCUAUACAAAACUCUAGCAUGGAUAUGAUGAAUAGUUGCUCUGCCUAAUUUGCACAUUUUAAGUUCUCUCUCAAGUUUAGAUAUAACUGUUAUAAUUUAAAGCUUGCUCUAGACCUAAACUUAUGGGAUGAAAACUUGAUCUGAAAUCUAAGUUGUUAACGGAUAUGAUAUGGGAAGGUUAAGCUGCUGUUUAUCUGUUCCUAGAGAUGCUAGAAUUCUGGAGAAUUUUAUCUUUGAAAAUCUUUAAAAUAUUACAUGAUGAGUUCCUGUAUGAUGAGAGUUUAAAUUCCUACCACAGCCAUAUAUACAUUCUUGUUAGACUUUGAGCCACACAUUUACUAUUUACUGCUUAUGAGCAUUGAGUGUGGUCAAGCUGUGUAGACCCUUAGGAGCUUGUCAUGUGGUUAAAUCAAGAUUCACUUACACGUUCACUCAUAUAUGCUACUUCUACUCCGGAAGUACCAUCCACAUAUAUCCAUCCAUUUCCAUCUCCAGAAUCACCCAAAAAUAUUCUACUCCUAAUCCGAGAGAGAAUAACCAAAAAUAUUUCUGUUUUUCCCUUGUGAAAUAAAUGCACAAGUUAUCUUGUUACUAUCACUUGCUAUAUUAUCUCAAGAGAUGAGUGCCAAAAAAAAAGAUACGAGGAAAUAAAAAGGGGCAAGUGCCCGGAGCCUCGAAAGAAAAGAAAAAGUGAGACGAGAGGUAAAAAUGGACAAGUGUCCAACAGUAGAAUUAGGGGUACAAGAUACCCACCUGGGAGAAAAGAAAAAGAAGAGCAUCUCAUAAAAUUUCAAAAAAAAAGCAAGGAAGGUAUGUAUCCCCUUAAAAGAGCAAAAGUAGAAUUAGACUUUCACCAUUGCUAUCACUAUCAUCACCAUACACCAUUCAUUCGCCACAGAUGCACAUCUUGAUUUGGCUUAAUGAUUUGUUCCUUUGGAUCCAUGGUUUGACUAUGCAAUACAUGUCUUGUAAGUAUGUAUACUUUAUCUCCCACCUAUGUGCCCCAGAUAUUAAAGCCUUAUUAGAGUAGGAUGAGAGAGAAGACAAUGUCACUAUGCUUUAUACCACAAAUACCACAUACUUGAGAGAAGACAUAUACCAUCACUACCUAGGUAAGGAUCCAAAAAUACCACAAAGGAGAGAUUUGAGAGAGUCAUACAAGGAAUCUCUGAGUUUUAUUUGAAAAUCUGCAAAAACUCCAGAGCUAUAGCUGAUCAAGAAUAAGAGACAUGGCACUUGACUAGACUGUUCUAUCUUUUAACCACUCAAGACAGAAGUGACGAUUACAAGUCCCAUGGUAAAGGUAAAGUAAGUAGGUUUUAAGUCUUUACAGUUUACUCUAACUCAGAGAUGAGAUCUUAUUUAAAAACCAUGUGUACCGUCAAUUUUUAAGAUAUUACAACAACUUCUAGUCCAUUGCUGAGUCUAUCCUUGCUCAGGGACGAGCAAGAGGUAAGCUUGGGGG
rnacentral:lncRNA from 1 species